UGUAACUGCACCGACUGCCUGCCCUUCCCCAGGGCACGCUAUAAAUCCGAUCGUUUCCGGUUCUCCCGACGU
rnacentral:sRNA from 1 species